rnacentral:rRNA from 1 species
UUAAAAUGAGAGUUUGAUCCUGGCUCAGGACGAACGCUGGCGGCGUGCCUAAUACAUGCAAGUCGAGCGAGCGGAACUAACAGAUUUACUUCGGUAAUGACGUUAGGAAAGCGAGCGGCGGAUGGGUGAGUAACACGUGGGGAACCUGCCCCAUAGUCUGGGAUACCACUUGGAAACAGGUGCUAAUACCGGAUAAGAAAGCAGAUCGCAUGAUCAGCUUUUAAAAGGCGGCGUAAGCUGUCGCUAUGGGAUGGCCCCGCGGUGCAUUAGCUAGUUGGUAAGGUAAAGGCUUACCAAGGCGAUGAUGCAUAGCCGAGUUGAGAGACUGAUCGGCCACAUUGGGACUGAGACACGGCCCAAACUCCUACGGGAGGCAGCAGUAGGGAAUCUUCCACAAUGGACGCAAGUCUGAUGGAGCAACGCCGCGUGAGUGAAGAAGGUUUUCGGAUCGUAAAGCUCUGUUGUUGGUGAAGAAGGAUAGAGGUAGUAACUGGCCUUUAUUUGACGGUAAUCAACCAGAAAGUCACGGCUAACUACGUGCCAGCAGCCGCGGUAAUACGUAGGUGGCAAGCGUUGUCCGGAUUUAUUGGGCGUAAAGCGAGCGCAGGCGGAAGAAUAAGUCUGAUGUGAAAGCCCUCGGCUUAACCGAGGAACUGCAUCGGAAACUGUUUUUCUUGAGUGCAGAAGAGGAGAGUGGAACUCCAUGUGUAGCGGUGGAAUGCGUAGAUAUAUGGAAGAACACCAGUGGCGAAGGCGGC